GGGCGUAUGGAAUCGUAUUAGCGGUCGGAGCACCUCCGCCGUUGGUUCGCGUGAAUAAUGGAACUGCGCUGCAAUUGAGGAGGAUCCUCCACCGUCCUCAAAUUCGGAGACUCGGAUUGAGUCAUGGCGGCCUUAAUGUCCGACCCGUUCGGUCACGGAGCACCUGGAGGGAAGGUCUCCGCGCUCUUCUCCAAGGACACCAAGUCUAUGGAAGCGCUUCAUGGUAACAUGAUCGGAAUCCAGUGGAUGGGCGGCCCACUCUCGUC